AGCAGCCGCGGUAAUUCCAGCUCCAAUAGCGUAUAUUAAAGUUGUUGCAGUUAAAAAGCUCGUAGUUGAAUUUCGGGAUCAAUGCGUCGGUCGUGCUUUCGGGUACGUACUGGUGUCAUUGGUUUCUCCUUUCUGACGAGCCGUGAUGUCAUUAAUUUGGUGUUACGGGUAGUUGGGACUGUUACUUUGAAAAAAUUAGAGUGUUUAAAGCAGGCAUUCGCUUGAAUACAUUAGCAUGGAAUAAUGAAAUAGGACGUUUGACCCUAUUUUGUUGGUUUCUAGGAUCAACGUAAUGAUUAAUAGGGAUAAUUGGGGGCAUUAGUAUUCAAUUGUCAGAGGUGAAAUUCUUGGAUUUAUUGAAGACUAACUACUGCGAAAGCAUUUGCCAAGGAUGUUUUCAUUAAUCAAGAACGAAAGUUAGGGGAUCGAAGACGAUCAGAUACCGUCGUAGUCUUAACCAUAAACUAUGCCGACUAGGGAUCGGAUGAUGUUAAUUUUUUAAUGACUCAUUCGGCGCCUU
rnacentral:rRNA from 1 species